AACGAACGCUGGCGGCAGGCUUAACACAUGCAAGUCGAGCGCCCCGCAAGGGGAGCGGCAGACGGGUGAGUAACGCGUGGGGAUCUACCCAUCUCUACGGAAUAACGCAUGGAAACGUGUGCUAAUACCGUAUACGUCCUUCGGGAGAAAGAUUUAUCGGAGAUGGAUGAGCCCGAGUUGGAUUAGCUAGUUGGUGGGUAAAGGCCUAACAAGGCGACGAUCCAUAGCUGGUCUGAGAGGAUGAUCAGCCACACUGGGACUGAGACACGGCCCAGACUCCUACGGGAGGCAGCAGUGGGGAAUAUUGGACAAUGGGCGCAAGCCUGAUCCAGCCAUGCCGCGUGAGUGAUGAAGGCCCUAGGGUUGUAAAGCUCUUUCACCGGUGAAGAUAAUGACGGUAACCGGAGAAGAAGCCCCGGCUAACUUCGUGCCAGCCGCCGCCGUAAAAC
rnacentral:rRNA from 1 species